rnacentral:lncRNA from 1 species
AGCUGGGGAUCUGAAUUCCAAUUUUAAACCAUGAUUCUAUGACUUGUAAUAAACCAAGCUGUACAAUUUAGUUGAUGAUAGCAGCCUCUGAGCUGCUCCAAAAUAUAUAUAUCAACAGUGGUAAAUACUGUAGAAUUAUAUAUAUAUAUACACACACACACAUAUAUAUAUAUAUAUGCAAAAUAUAUAUAUACACACACUAUUUUCUUAAUGUCAUCUGACAUUUUUUAUCUGUACACUUUUUUUGAUGUGAUUGUUUUUAACAUGCUAAAUAAGUAUAUUUUUGUUUUGUGUCUUUUAUGUGCUUUUUUCCAUAUGGCAUCCCUGAUGCGUCUCCAGCUAAAUUCCACGCUAACUGAGUAGGUACUGCCCUGUGUUUGCCCACAUGACUUUCUGUAUAUCACAGUUCUUUGUCCUGUGCUUUUCUCAUUUCCAGUAGUUCUGUAUUUGGAACCUCAUCACCUUCCCUUUAUUUGAUCAUUAUUAACAGCAGUAAGGUGUUAUUUUCAGUUUUCCCCUAUCGUAUAGCUCUCUUUUUCACGUAGGAAAAUUUAAUUUGAAGUUAUUUUGCCACCAUACAAUUUUACUCUUUCAAAUUUAUAUUUUAAUAAAAGAAAAAUAAUAAUGAUAGAAGAUGAAAUAAUAUUCAUAAAGUGGGUCAAAUAUACUUACAAAAUGUCUGGUAAGGAUUUUCAUAGUGUGGAGAUUAAUUUUACUCUGUUAACUGUACAUGUAGUAAAUAUUUUGUGACUAUUAAGUCUUUUCUUCAGAGCAGUUGUGCCUAACAUAGUAAGCACUUUGAUACAGUUUGGUUUUUUUUUGGGGGGGGUUCUUUUGCUUUGCUUUUGUUUUUUGCUUUUUAGGGCCGCACCCAUGGCAUAUGGGGCUUCCCAGGCUAGGGGUCAAAUUGGAGCUACAGCUGCCAGCCUACACCACAGCCACAGCAACAAGGAAUCCAAGCCGCAUCUGCGAUCUACACCACAGCUCGCGGCAACGCCAGAUCCUUAACCCACUGAGUAAGGCCAGGGAUCCAACCCAAAUCCUCAUGGAUCCUAGUCACGUUUGUUAACCACUGAGCCACAAAGGGAACUCCCCAGGUUUAUUUUUUUAAUAUUUAGUUUGAAAAGUUAAAGAAACUAGACCUAGUGUCUCAAAAGUUUUUUUUUUUUUUUUCCUUUUGUGUUUUUUCCUUUUUUUUUUUUUUUAGGACUGCACCUGCAGCAUAUGGAAGUUUCUGGGCUAGGGGUGGAAUCAGAGCUGCAGCUGCCUGUCUACACCUCAGCCACAGCAACACGGGAUCAGAGCUGCAUCUUCGACCUACUCGUGCAACGCCGGAUGCUUCACCCCCUGAGCCACAACGGGAACUCCAUCAAAAGGUUUUAGAACUUCAACUCUUUCAGGUGUUUAUAGGAUUUUAAAAAUAGCUUUUCAAGCUGGGAGAUACCAGCUGUCAUCUACAUGUGUCAGAUCAGACCCCCGAGGAUUGUCGGGGAGGCGGAACUCUUUUCUUCUGUCUCUGGCUUCUCCACCCAGGCCCUGUGAGCUGGACUGACCAAGCUGACAAAGGACAGGUCAGCGGCCAGAACACCCAGAGGUUCACUACUGUGCGCAUCCUGCCUCCCUUGGUGCCCGGUGACGAGGAACCGCAGGGGCGCUCACUCAAGGUCCCUGCACCUAACUUGGUCCACAAGGAGGUGGGCAGCAAGGGCACCUGGGGAGAAGCAGACGCUUUUCUGGAGGGCUGUUGGAGAAGCGAUGGGAGAGGCGAUAGUUUGUGGCAGUGCCCAGGGUGGUGCCAGGAGAGAUUCGAGCUGCCCGGGGAGGGCAUUUAUGACACUUGAGUCCACGGGCAGGCUCUGCUUUUAGGCAGAUGAGGGAUUUCCUGAACGCCAGUGCCUUCGGCUCAAAAAUCCUUCUUAUGCCAAAGUGGCUUAUUUUGGGGUGGCAGGUCCUGACGCCCUUCUCUGUCAGUGGCAGAAUGUUUCUUAAAGAAAGGAAAUUCAGUCAGUGGGACAUUUCUGGAAAAGACAAAUAGAUGUUUACAGGAUGCGAUGUGAUUGUUUCAACUUUUCUUUCAUUUUAAGGGUCUGAUACUAAAUGUUACCUGGUGGCACUUGAUCAUGGAGGUUUGUAUUUGUGGUCAUUUCCGAUUUCUCCCCCCAGGGCCUGUUAUGCUGUAAACACAGAAAUGAUCCCUGGUCGAUACUUUGCUAAGGUUUCUUUUCAUCUUCAUGAUUAGAAACAUUCCAUGUCCACAAAUCGGGAUUUAUUCACAGAGGGUCUGCCGUUUAAUCUCCUGAAAAUAUUACUCUGAGUUAUCUUUUAGACUCAGACCUUUGAGUAUAUGCUCCAGACUGUGGGUUAAUUAAGACUGUGGCUUUGGCGAUCUGGAUUUUUCCUUUGUUUUAAUUGUUCUUGAACGGGUUUUAAAUGUCACUUCUAGUGUGGCCAUUAACACGUAUUGACCAGAUGGUUUUAAUAAGUCAGACUUGACCUUUACAAUGACCUACGGUGUUGAGGACGGAGGAGAGGAUUCCAUUUCACGUUCUCAUGCGAGCUGUACUGUUAGUGGGAUUUUCAGUUAUCCGUAAAUCUAAGCAGAACUGCCCCGUUUUAUCGGGAAGACUGUUAAAACACAGAGGAGCACAUUUUAGAUCUCAGAGGAGUGUGUCUCAACCUCUGCUGCUGUUUAGAAUUUUCUGGAGAAUUUUUUUUUAGAGUGGAUUGUCGUAUAUUCCCACCGUGAGCUGUCUCAGAUCCUUAACAGGUCAGUUCCAGAGUUUAAAAUCUCUGAUUUCAGCUAAGUGAGAAAAACUUCUACUGGAAAGCUGAACAUCACCAGCCAUCUGUAAAUUCUGAUGAACUGCCCACAGUGAAAGUACAAGUGGCUUCGGGUCAGUGGCCGGACCCUGAACUUCGUCUCCCCACCACGUACAGUAAUACUUCCGGGCGGGUGGGGCUUUAUGAAGAUUUCCGUUUUCCUGCACCACCUCUGUCACUUGCCUAAAGUGACAGGCCAAAAAGAGGCCUGAGCUGUGGGAAAGCCCAAGUGCACUUCCUCCCCGUGGGGAGCCGAGAAGAUGCUGCCUAGUCUGGUUGUCCUCCGGACCCGUUGGCACCUACAGUGCACUAGUGCCCCGGGACCGUGCUGGGCUCCCACUUUAAGAAAUGAGAUGCAUUGUGUGAUCUGUGUCCAGUUCGGUGUUGCGAUGUGGGCAGGUGGCUAUCACGGGUAAGAAAGGCCAGCGCAAGCAGGUCAGGGAGGGCCUGAGGGGGGCGCGCAAAGUGGAAAAGCCUGAAGGCAGUGGAUGGAGGGGCGCUUGUGCCAUGGGAUGGCAUGAGCAUGGCAUGGUGUCGGGGAGGGGGAUGUGGUGGCAGGUGCCACAGAGACCAGGCCCAGGGGGUCUCAAGUGCCACACGCAGGCAUGUGCGCACAAGCCUGGAGGAAGCCAGGAAGAGAGCCAGUCGUCUGUCUGAAAGCUGGUUCAGAGCCUAACGCCAGGGAAGAAGGUUCAAGGAAACAGGGAUUCACUAGUUAGGAGGACAAUUUACUAAGUGAAGUUGGCAAAACUUGAUCAUUGGUUGAAUGUAAUCAUGAUAAUUAUGAAAAGUAGCUAACAUGACUGAAUGUUUGCCGUGUGUCUGACACUGUGCUAGCAUCUUACCUCUUAAUUCACUUAAUUCUGACAGUAGCUAUGAAGUAUGGAUUAUCUUAAUUCCUGAUGUACAGAUGAAAAAACUCGAGGUAACUUGUCCCAGGUGACACAGCUGGUAGGUAAUAGAUCCAGGACUGGAAUCGGAAUCCAGAACCUGUGCUUCCCUCCCACAGCCAACAGUUUUUAGGAAGUGUGAUUUAUCUACCAUAAAGUUCACCCAUCUCAGUGGACACGUCAAUGCUUUUUUAGUAAGUCCCGGAGCUGUGCAGCCAUUACGACACACCAAUUUGGGGACGUUUCCAUCACCUCAAAAAGACCUCUUGUGCCCAUUUGUGAUCUCCAUCCCCCAGCCGCAGGCAACCACUAAUCCACCUUCUGUCCUUCUGAUUUCAUAGAGAUGGAAUCAGAUAACACCGGUUUUUGCAUCUGGCCUCCUUCCUUUGUCUAUCCAGCCACCAGCUGAUAGAGCCUUGGAUUGGUUUCACAUGCUGCCACGACCACUUGUGUACAGACGUGUGUGUGUGGCCGUGUUUUCAUUUCCCUUGGGUAUUCGUUUAGGAGUGCUGUCGCUGGGUUUUACUGUGUUUGGUUCAGCUUUUUAAGGAACUCCCACACUCUUCCGAAGUAUCUGCCCUGUUUGACCUUCCACCAGCAGUGUUUGAGGGUUCCGGUUUUGGCGCACCCUCGCCGGCACGUGUUAUCUUGUACUUUUUGGUUAAAGCCGUUCUAGUGGGUAUGAAGUAAUAGCUCAUUGUGGUUUCAUUUGCGUUUCUCAAGUAGCCAAUGAUGCUGAGGAUCUUUCCAUGUGCUAAUGGAUCAUUCAUGUAUAUUCUUUGAUGAAAUGUCUGUUCAGAUCUUUUAUUAAUUGGGUUUUCUUAUUUUUAAAAAGUAACAGUUCUUAAAAUACUCUGGAUACAAGUCCUUUAUAAGACAUAUGAUUUGCAAGUAUUUUCUCCAAGUCGGACAUGUCUUUUCAGUAUCUUAAUGGUGUCUUUUGAAGUGUGAAUGUUUUUAAUUUUAAUAAGUCCAGUUUAUUUGUUAUUUAUGGAUCAUGCUUUUCAUAUUGUAUCUCUCUGCCUAACUCAAGGUCGCAAAUGAUUCUCUCCUAAAUUCCAUUCCAGAAGUUUUACAGUUUCCCCUCUUACAUUUGGGUCUGUGAGCCGUGUUAAAUUAUUAUUGUUUAAGGUGUGAGGUGGGAUCUAAGUCUGUGUGGCUAUCCAUUGGUCUCAGCACCAUGUGUUUAAAAGACUGUUUUCUCAAACGGAAUUGCCUUGGUACCUCUGUCAAAAAUCAAUUGAUCAUAUAUUUAAAUGUUUAUUUUAAGUUUCGAAAUCGGGAAAUAUACAUCCUUUAACU